GGGGGAUUGUCUCAGUGGUAGAGGGUUCGCUUCGCAUGUGAAAGGCCCGGGUUCGAUUCCCGGAUCCUCCA
rnacentral:tRNA from 2 species